AUUGAACGCUGGCGGCAGGCCUAACACAUGCAAGUCGAGCGGAUGAAGGGAGCUUGCUCCUGGAUUCAGCGGCGGACGGGUGAGUAAUGCCUAGGAAUCUGCCUGGUAGUGGGGGAUAACGUCCGGAAACGGGCGCUAAUACCGCAUACGUCCUGAGGGAGAAAGUGGGGGAUCUUCGGACCUCACGCUAUCAGAUGAGCCUAGGUCGGAUUAGCUAGUUGGUGGGGUAAAGGCCUACCAAGGCGACGAUACGUAACUGGUCUGAGAGGAUGAUCUGUCACAAUGGAACUGAGACAAGGUCCAGGCUCCUACGGGAGGCAGGAGUGGGGAAUAUUGGACAAGGGGCGAAAGCCUGAUCCAGCCAUGCCGCGUGUGUGAAGAAGGUCUUCGGAUUGUAAAGCACUUUAAGUUGGGAGGAAGGGCAGUAAGUUAAUACCUUGUUGUUUUGACGUUACCAACAGAAUAAGCACCGGCUAACUUCGUG
rnacentral:rRNA from 1 species